rnacentral:rRNA from 1 species
GCCCUUUUCCGGUUGAUCCUGCCGGAGGCCAUUGCUAUUGGGAUCCGAUUUAGCCAUGCUAGUUGUACGAGUUCAGACUCGUAGCGAAUAGCUCAGUAACACGUGGCCAAACUACCCUUCGGAGCGCGAUAACCUCGGGAAACUGAGGCUAAUAGCGCAUCCCACACUCGGCCUGGAAUGGCGAGUGUGGCAAACGCUCCGGCGCCGAAGGAUGUGGCUGCGGCCGAUUAGGUAGACGGUGGGGUAACGGCCCACCGUGCCGAUAAUCGGUACGGGUCAUGAGAGUGAGAACCCGGAGACGGAAUCUGAGACAAGAUUCCGGGCCCUACGGGGCGCAGCAGGCGCGAAACCUUUACACUGCACGCCAGUGCGAUAAGGGGAUCCCAAGUGCACAGGCAUAGAGCCUGUGCUUUUGUCCACCGUAGGGAGGUGGACGAAUAAGGGCUGGGCAAGACCGGUGCCAGCCGCCGCGGUAAUACCGGCAGCCCGAGUGAUGGCCGAUCUUAUUGGGCCUAAAGCGUCCGUAGCUGGCCGCGCAAGUCCAUCGGGAAAUCUCCCCGCUCAACGGGGAGCCGCCCGGUGGAAACUGCGUGGCUUGGGACCGGAAGGCGCGACGGGUACGUCCGGGGUAGGAGUGAAAUCCCGUAAUCCUGGACGGACCGCCGAUGGCGAAAGCACGUCGCGAGAACGGAUCCGACAGUGAGGGACGAAAGCCGGGGUCUCGAACCGGAUUAGAUACCCGGGUAGUCCUGGCCGUAAACGAUGCCUGUUAGGUGUGGCUCCCACUACGAGUGGGUGCUGUGCCGUA